GAUGAACGCCGGCGGUAUGCUUAACACAUGCAAGUCGAACGGACUCUUCGGAGUUAGUGGCGGACGGGUGAGUAACGCGUGAGAAUCUGGCUUUGGGUUCGGGACAACCACUGGAAACGGUGGCUAAUACCGGAUGUGCCGAGAGGUGAAAGAGAAAUUGCCUGAAGAUGAGCUCGCGUCUGAUUAGCUAGUUGGUGAGGUAAAGGCUCACCAAGGCAGCGAUCAGUAGCUGGUCUGAGAGGAUGACCAGCCACACUGGGACUGAGACACGGCCCAGACUCCUACGGGAGGCAGCAGUGGGGAAUUUUCCGCAAUGGGCGAAAGCCUGACGGAGCAAUACCGCGUGAGGGAAGAAGGCUCUUGGGUUGUAAACCUCUUUUCUUAGGGAAGAACAAAAUGACGGUACCUAAGGAAUCAGCAUCGGCUAACUCCGUG
rnacentral:rRNA from 1 species